rnacentral:tRNA from 1 species
GCGUCGGUGGCAGAGUGGUCAAUUGCAACGGACUGUAAAUCCGUCGCCGUAAGGCUUCAGAGGUUCGAAUCCUCUCCGGCGCA